GCGUGAGCGAAGAAGGCCUUAGGGUUGUAAAGCUCUUUCGCCCGCGACGAUAAUGACGGUAGCGGGAGAAGAAGCCCCGGCUAACUCCGUGCCAGCAGCCGCGGUAAUACGGAGGGGGCUAGCGUUGUCCGGAAUUACUGGGCGUAAAGCGCGCGUAGGUGGUCCACCAAGUCGGGGGUGAAAGCCCAGGGCUCAACCCUGGAAUUGCCUCCGAGACUGAUGGACUCGAGUUCGGGAGAGGAGAGCGGAAUUCCCAGUGUAGAGGUGAAAUUCGU
rnacentral:rRNA from 1 species